rnacentral:lncRNA from 1 species
ACUCUGGCCAGCUUUUAUGUAGGGCAGACAUCUCAGGAGGAAGAGCCAACAGAACCAGAAGUGUUCCCAGACAUGUUGCUUCACCACCGUGCCUCUCUUUCUUUCAGCAAACAGGAGAGGUAGGAGAGGAAGGCAGAACAGAGCACUGACUCAGCCCACCUGCACCCAGGUGAAAUAAACAGCUUUAUUGCUCACACAAAGCCUGUUUCGUGGUCUCUUCACACUGACGUGCAUGAAAUUUGUUGCCAUGACUUGGAUCGGGGGACCUCCCUUUGGAGAUCAAUCCCCCAUCCUCCUGCUCUUUGCUCCGUGAGAAAGAUCCACCUAUGACCUCAGGUCCUCAGACUGACCAGCCCAAGAAACAUCUCACCAAUUUCAAAUCCGGUAAGUGGCCUCUUUUUACUCUCUUCUCCAACCUCCCUCACUAUCCCUCAACCUCUUUCUCCUUUCAAUCUUGGCGCCACACUUCAAUCUCUCCCUUCUCUUGAUUUCAAUUCCUUUCAUUUUCUGGUAGAGACAAAGGAGACACAUUUUAUCCAUGGACCCAAAACUCCGGCGCCGGUCACGGACUGGGAAGGCAGCCUUCCCUUGGUGUUUAAUCAUUGCAGGGAUGCCUCUCUGAUUAUUCACCCACGUUUCAAAGGUGUCAGACCACACAGGGAUGCCUGCCUUGGUCCUUCACCCUUGGCGGCAAGUCCUGCUUUUCUGGGGGAGGGGUAAGUACCCCAACCCCUUCUCUCCAUGUCUCUACCCCUUCUCUGAUUUUCUGGGGCAGGGGCAAGUACCCCUCAACCCCUUCUCCUUCAGCCUUAGUGGCAAGUCCCUCUUCUCUGGGGGAGGGGCAAGUACCCCAACCCCUUCUCUCUGUGUCUCUACCCCUUCUCUGCUCUUCUGGGGCAGGGGCAAGAACCCCUCAACCCCUUCUCCUUCACCGUUAGUGGCAAGUCCCACUUUUCUAGGGUGCAAGAACCCCCAAUACCUUAUUUCCAUGCCCCAACCCUUUCUCUGCUUUUCUGGAGGGCAAGAAACCCCCAGCCCUUCUCCAUGUCUCUACUCUUUUCUCUGGGCUUGCCUCCUUCACUAUGGGCAACCUUCCAUUCCUCCUUCUCCCUUAGCCUGUGUUCUUAAGAACUUAAAACCUCUUCAACUCUCACCUGACCUAAAAUCUAAGCGUCCUAUUUUCUUCUGCAAUGCCACUUGACCAAAAUACAAACUUGACAGUAGUUCCAAAUAGCCGGAAAACAGCACUUUCAAUUUUUCCAUCCUACAAGAUCUAAAUAAUUCUUGUUGUAAAAUAGGCAAAUGGUCUGAGGUGCCUGAUGUCCAGGCAUUCUUUUACAUAUCAGUCCCUUCCUAGUCUCUGUGCUCAGUGCAACUUGUCCCAAAUUUUCCUUCUUUCCCUCCCGCCUGUCCCCUCAGUCCCAACCCCAAGCGUCGCUGAGUCUUUCUAAUCUUCCUUUUCUACAGACCCAUCUGACCUCUCCCUUCCUUGCCAGGCCAAGCUAGAUCCCAAUUCUUCCUCAGCCUCCAUUCCUCCACCCUAUAAUCUUUGUAUCACCUCCCCUUCUCACACCUGGUCUGGCUUACAGUUUUGUUCCGUGACUAGCCCUCCCCCACCUGCCCAGCAAUUUACUCAAAAAGGUGGCUGGAGCCAAAGGCAUAGUCAAGGUUAAUGCUCCUUUUUCUUUAUCCCAAAUCAGAAGCGUUUAGGCUCUUUUUCAUCAAAUAUAAAAACCCAGCCCAGUUCAUGGCUCAUUCGGCAACCCUGAGACGCUUUACAGCCCUAGAUCCUAAAAGGUCAAAAGGCCGUCUUAGUCUCAAAAUACAUUUUAUUACCCAAUCUGUUCCCAACAUUAAAUAAAACUCCAAAAAUUAAAUUCUGGCCCUCAAACCCCACAACGGGAUUUAAUUAACCCCAUCUUCAAGGUGUACAAUAACAGAAAAAAGUUGCAAUUCCUUGCCUCCACUGUGAGACAAACCCCAGCCACAUCUCCAGCACACAAGAACUUCCAAACGCCUGAACUGCAGCAGCCAGGCGUUCCUCCAGAACCUCCUCCCCCAGGGGCUUGCUACACAUGCCGGAAAUCUGGCCACUGGGCCAAGGAAUGCCUGCAGCCCGGGAUUCUUCCUAAGCCACGUCCCAUCUGUGUGGGACCCCACUGAAAAUCAGACUGUUCAACUCACCUGGCAGCCACUCCCAGAGCCCCUGGAACUCCGGCCCAAGGCUCUCUGACUGACUCCUUCCCAGAUCUUCUCGGCUUAGCGGCUGAAGACUGCUGCUCGGUUGCCUCGGAAGCCCUAUAGACCAUCACGGAUGCUGAGCUUUAGGUAACUCUCACAGUGGAAGUACAAGAAGGCAGGAAUGUCAGGCCUCUGAGCCCAAGCCAAGCCAUCGCAUCCCCUGUGACUUGCACGUAUACGCCCAGAUGGCCUGAAGUAACUGAAGAAUCACAAAAGAAGUGAAAAGGCCCUGCCCGGCCUUAACUGAUGACAUUCCACCAUUGUGAUUUGUUCCUGCCCCACCUUAACUGAGUGAUUAACCCUGUGAAUUUCCUUCCCCUGGCUCAGAAGCUCUCCCACUGAGCACCUUGUGACCCCCGCCCCUGCCCACCAGAGAACAACCCCCUUUGACUGUAAUUUUCCUUUACCUUCCCAAAUCCUAUAAAAGGGCCCCACCCGUAUCUCCCUUCGCUGACUCUCUUUUCGGACUCAGCUCACCUGCACCCAGGUGAAAUAAACAGCUUUAUUGCUCACACAAAUCCUGUUUGGUGGUCUCUUCACACGGAUGUGCAUGAAAUAAACCAUGUUUGAUGAACCCAGAUGAGCAAUCUGUUGAUCUGAGAAAAGGAGUUUACUUGAAUGAAAGCUAGUGUUGUUUGGAUAAAUGGACAUUGGGAAGUUCCUGAAACAAUCACGUGAUCUGCAACUUUAUCUUCCUGAGCCAGGGUUUUCUGGAAGAGUGAUGCCCUGUAGCUGCAGACAGUGAGCUGUGUGGUUGAGAUAGUUUGAAUGCUGGGGGCU